rnacentral:tRNA from 1 species
AAAACCUUAAGUUAAAAAAACUAUUAACCUUCAAAGUUAAAUAUACAUUUAUAAAUGUAGGUUUUA